rnacentral:lncRNA from 1 species
CAAAGAUCAAUGGAAUUAUUAGGAGGGGUUGGCCUGUUUUAAGAGAGGUAUAGCUGAGACCAUUGGAGUUGUGCUUCGGAUGAAUGAAAUCAGUAUGUGCCUUUUCGGGCUGAGCAACUCGAUUUUGUGGGUUUUUUAACCUUAGAUGAGCUUAGCAUAGAUUUGAUUGUUUGGAUGGUUAAUUAAGUCGAAUGUUAUAGUAAUUCGCAGAGUAAAGCCUACGUUUUCGAUGUAUUAAUUGUUCAAUCUAUUUCGUAAGCAUAAAAAUAGCUCAUCAAAAGCUUUUCUUGUUUUGUUUUAUUUGCAGUGUAAUUCUCUUGCUAUUCAUGUCAAAAGGUUAGUUAUUCUUAUUGAUGUGAAGUCAAAUUUAAGUAAAUUUACUUUAUCAGUUUAGGGUUUUAAUAUGCAUGCUAUUAGUUCAGUGUGUUGGGAAAUUGUAUCCUAGAAUAUUCUGAAAUUGCACGACAAUGACAUAAAUGCUUGGGACAAGUUGUUGUUGAGGCAUUAAAUUCUAUGUUUUUAGGGUCUGUCUCAAUAAUUAUGUAGACCAGGGUCGUUUGAUGCAAUAACCUCACGUCAGUUCACAGGCAAAAAAUUCCUCCAUUGGAACAGUCAUUCUUUUUUCCUUUAUAACCCUUCCUAUACCUUUUUUUCAUUCUUAGUACUCAAAGCUUCC